GGAAAACAGACUUGGAAAAUAUGAGUUGAUGGACCCUGACAGCCAGUUUCUGAGGUUUGUCCUUCCAGCCAGCCAGUCAUGGGAGAUCGUUACACUUUGACCUCAAAAUCUUUGCCUGCCUCCCAAGUUCUCCCACAGCACUAUACAUUCACAUCUGUUUAGAGCCCGCUGCUUGCUGGACAUACUUUAGUCUCAGCUUUGGAGGAAGAUGGCUAGCUCUUGGAAAUCUUUUAGAUCUCUUAGAAACACUUUUGUAUACUAUUCAUUUAUUUUGUGUGUGUCUAGUGCACAGGAAAAAGCUCAGUGUAAUAAAAUUAACAACUGCAGCUGUAGAAUGAGUAAUACCGCAACCCAAGCCUAAGACUGGCAAGCUUCCUGCAACUGAAGGUCAUUCCUCUUUGUUAGAAGACUAAGGGUCCCUGACCUGAUCUGUGGAGCACCAGGGUGGAGAGAGUGGAAUAAGCAGCAAAACGAAAAAUUGGAUGCUGUUUUCAAAAGUUUUGUUCUCAUUCUUGGAUUAUAGAUUAUCUAAAGGGAAAAUUUAACUCAACCAAAAAAUUCGUUCAGCUCCAUGAAGCUAAAGAUGCUAUAAACUGACUCUUUCCUAAAGAGCACCAAACCUGAAAUUUUUCCUGCUAGAGAGGAACUAAUCUUCAAGGACACCUGUCUAUUGCUAGACAUUAAGAAGGAAGGUGAACUCCGUUCUGUCUUCAUAAAACACAUUUUUGUCUUUCCCCCUCACUCCUCCACUGAACCCACUAUGUUUACAAGUACAAGCUAUGACUGUGGAGGUGGAAAAUCUGAUACUGUCAGCACAAGUGGAACAAAAUGAAAAGAGAAAAAAAUCUACACACCCAUCUGGACUUCCAUAUGCUCUGUAGCCCAGAGGCUAAUAUAAUUCCUUGAAUGUUGGUUAUAAAGCAAUGUGAUAUGGAUGACUGCUAUGCACUGAGCUUAUUUAGACAAGUGUUCUUUCUACUCAAUAAACCUUUGAAAGGAUUAAAGUACAAUCACUC
rnacentral:lncRNA from 1 species